UACAGAGACUGCAAGCGUUAUUCGGAUUCACUGGGCGUAAAGGGUGCGCAGGCGGCCGGGUGUGUGAGGCGUGAAAGCCCGAUGCUUAACAUCGGAAUUGCACCUCAAACUACACGGCUAGAGCGAUUGGAGAGGGUAGCGGAAUUCACGGUGUAGCAGUGAAAUGCGUAGAUAUCGUGAGGAACACCAGAGGCGAAGGCGGCUACCUGGACCGAUUACUGACGCUGAGGCGCGAAAGCUAGGGGAGCAAACGGG
rnacentral:rRNA from 1 species